GACGAACGCUGGCGGCGUGCUUAACACAUGCAAGUCGAACGGAAAGGCCCCUUCGGGGGUACUCGAGUGGCGAACGGGUGAGUAACACGUGAGUAACCUGCCCUUGACUUCGGGAUAACUUCAGGAAACUGGGGCUAAUACCGGAUAGGAAUCCUUGCUGCAUGGUGGGGGUUGGAAAGCUUCGGCGGUUUUGGAUGGACUCGCGGCUUAUCAGCUUGUUGGUGGGGUAGUGGCUUACCAAGGCUUUGACGGGUAGCCGGCCUGAGAGGGCGACCGGCCACAUUGGGACUGAGAUACGGCCCAGACUCCGACGGGAGGCAGCAGUGGGGAAUAUUGCACAAUGGGCGGAAGCCUGAUGCAGCAACGCCGCGGGCGGGAUGACGGCCUUCGGGUUGUAAACCGCUUUCAGCAGGGGCGAAGCUUGUGGUGACGGUACCUGCAGAAGAAGCACCGGCUAACUACGUG
rnacentral:rRNA from 1 species